UUUUUAAAAAUUUGCUAAUAUUUUUAAUAGUCAAAAAAAAAAAAUAAUAAUUUCUGUACAUGUGAAUACACUAUAUCCAAUGAGAAGUCGGUACUGUACAUAUGGAACAAUGAUAUUUACAGGGUGAUCUAUAUAUAUAUACACAAGUUAGGACCUACAACAGAACUUAGUGGGGGAAGGGGCUAAUAGUGGGUGGGCAUUGUAAGGGGCACCAUUCAUGUUAAGAAAUUAAUAUCAAAGAAUUUAGUUAAGUCAAGGAUUUUAAACCAAAUUCAUUUAUAAACAAUCUCUGUGCUUUCAAAGCUUAGUGAUUACAAUGUAUAUCUAGACCAGAAACUUAAGUCUCAACCAGCAUUUAGUGUCCACCAUAUAGCUGAAAGUGGCAGUCAAUCACAUGCAGUCAACAAGCAAUAGAAAACAAGUGAACAAUGAAAAAAACAAUUGGAACCAGAGCCAAUAAAUAGUUAAACAAUUAAACAAUGAGACUUCAAAAUGUGGCAUAAAGAAACCUAGCAACGGCUUCCACUGCAACACAAGCCAUUGCUAGCAGUAGUGAAAUUACAGGCUGGGAUCAGUUUAAAACAAUAACAUAAAGGUCAAUAAUACUUCAAAAAGAAACAAGGUGAUUUAAAAAGAAAAAAAUGCAUUAAAAAACAUAAUGGUAUUGCAAUGAAACAAAAUAAAUUAACAUCAGCAGACAUGAUCAAACAAUUAAGGAAAAAGAAAAUUGAACAUAACAUGACAUAGAGAACAGGG